GUCUCCAGGUGGGCAGGCUCUGGUGGAGAGCCAGGGCUCUCAGGGGUGGUCCUAGGGGCAGCAGCAUCAGCACCCCGGGGCCCUGCUGGGAAAACCAGCUCUCGGGCUCUGCUGAGACCUCCUGAAUCGGAACCUCAGGGUGGGCCUGGCCAUCGGAGUUUUAACAAGGCCUCCAGAAGAUUCUGACACUCACUAGAGUCUGAGAGACACAGCAGAGCUAGAAUCCGGCCUCCAGUUUUCACCCAGGAGACAGGAGGAUUCUGGGUGGAAGGGCAGGAGGGACUGGGGUCCCCCCCAGAAGGAGCGCCCCAGGACGAUGCCACACAAGGAACGUCGGUCAUGGAUAAGCCCCCAGUGAAGGGACUUAGGAAGCCUCUCCCUCUUGGUGUUCUUUCCCCAGAGAGUCUUCCGAGACCGGAAAUGCUUGCAAGGAAGGAAGAACCACUUUCUGUCCUCCAUCAUCAGGAGCACAGAAGGAUGAAGCUGGGCCCACAUAGAGAAGCAUCUCAUGCUGUCUGCAGUGGCUGCAGCGCUCUCCUGGGGCAGGAGAUGCUCAAAGGUCAACAUGACUUUGAAAAGGGGCUGGGAGAAAAGCCCCCAGUGCUGGCUCUGGACUCACUACCCCAGGGCUCCUAAAGGGCUAAACAUGACUAGAUUGUAGUGAGCCUGUCCUAACAUGCAAAGAAGCAUCCAGGGAUAAUGUCUAAAUACAGAUGUGCUAUUUCUCUCCUC